GACGAACGCUGGCGGCGUGCCUAAUACAUGCAAGUCGAACGCAGUGGGGACGGGUGAGUAACACGUGGGUAACCUCCCAUCAGAGGGGAUAACACUUGGAAACAGGUGCUAAACCGAUACUGAUGGAUGGACCCGCGGUGCAUUAGCUAGUUGGUGAGGUAACGCCUCACCAAGUCCCCGAUGCAUAGCCAAGCUGUAAGGGUGGUCGGCGACACUGUGACUAAGACAGUGACCAGUCUCCUACUGAAGGCAGCAUUAGGGAAUGUUCGGCAAUGGACGAAAGUGUGACCGAGCAACGCCGCGUGAGUGAAGAGUUGUUGCAAAUCGUAAAACUCUGUUGUUAGGGAAGCGGUAUAGAACCGGAAAGCCACGGCUAACUACGUGCCAGCCGCCGCGGUAAUAC
rnacentral:rRNA from 1 species